rnacentral:rRNA from 1 species
UACGGAGGGUGCAAGCGUUGUCCGGAUUUAUUGGGUUUAAAGGGUGCGUAGGCGGCCCGUUAAGUCAGUGGUGAAAGCCUCCAGCUCAACUGGAGAACUGCCAUUGAUACUGACGGGCUUGAGUACAGACGAGGUAGGCGGAAUUGAUUGUGUAGCGGUGAAAUGCAUAGAUACAAUCAAGAACUCCGAUUGCGUAGGCAGCUUACUAGGCUGUAACUGACGCUGAGGCACGAAAGCGUGGGGAUCAAACAGG